UUGGACAUCAAAGCUGGAUAUCGAGUUCCAAAGACAGUUUUUAUUUGUUUUGUAUAUAUGUGAAGUGUGUACAGAAUUGCAAGCCACAUUGUUUCAUUUCUCCAUAUGGUUAGAGCGAAGAGCCUUCGCUUCGAUUGGGCUUUCGAGAUCUGAAGAUCAAAUCACGAUCAUCAAAUUUUGGGAGCCAGUCAUUAGUUGCUGGAUUGCCUUUGCAGCCACCAUCAACAUGAACCCUCCCAUUUGCAACAUCAAUAAACUCAGUUUCAUUAUUCUGAAUAUUCACUCCAUUUUCUCCUCCUUCAUUCCCUACCUGUAUGAACCCACUACCUGUCUUAUGAUGGCGUUUUUCAAUUGAAUGCAAAUGCUUGUAAUACUCUGUCUCCACGUAGUCGUCCUGCACCAACGAUUCCCCAACUCCCAAGUGUAAAACAUAAGAUUGGGACUGCAGAUUUCGGAGCUUAUCCAGCUCGGGAAUAGCCUCUACUGAUGUGAGUUCAGAUGGGUUUUGAGUCGAGCAAUCGGAUUCGCUUCGGCUCGGUUUCAUCGGUCGCUUGGGGACGACGGAAUCGAACUGGGCUCUGAUCUGAUCAGUGAUUCGCAUCUGCUCCUCGUCGUCCAACACGACGUCGCUCCGGCUCGGCUUGCUCCCCG
rnacentral:misc_RNA from 1 species